rnacentral:rRNA from 1 species
GAUGAACGCUAGCGACAGGCCUAACACAUGCAAGUCGAGGGGCAGCACAUGAGUAGCAAUACGAUGGUGGCGACCGGCGCACGGGUGAGUAACACGUAUGCAACCUGCCUGUAAGAGGGGAAUAACCCGGAGAAAUUCGGACUAAUACCGCAUAAUACCACGAGACUGCAUGGUUUUGUGGUUAAACAUUUAUGGCUUACAGAUGGGCAUGCGUAUGAUUAGAUAGUUGGUAGGGUAACGGCCUACCAAGUCUACGAUCAUUAGGGGUUCUGAGAGGAAGGUCCCCCACACUGGAACUGAGACACGGUCCAGACUCCUACGGGAGGCAGCAGUGAGGAAUAUUGGACAAUGGAGGAAACUCUGAUCCAGCCAUGCCGCGUGAAGGAAGUAGGCCCUAUGGGUCGUGAACUUCUUUUGUCGCAGAGCAAUAAGGGGCCACGCGUGGUCCGAUGAGAGUAUGCGACGAAUAAGCAUCGGCUAACUCCGUG